rnacentral:rRNA from 1 species
AAAGCUGCGGCGUGCCUAAGAAAUGCAAGUCGAGCGGUUCCCUUCUUCACCGAGCCUGUGCGUUGUCGGUGGAAGUUCUUCCUUUGUAGCCGUCUGUUCCCUUUUUGGGAACGGGGCGUGCUUGCCGGGGAGGAUUUCUCUGCUGCGGUGUGCGGGUUGGGUGAAGAAGGGUGCAGCGGCGAACGGUCGCGUACCACGUAAGCAACCUGCCCCGAAGACCGGGACAACACUUCGAAAGGGGUGCUAAUACCGGAUGUGGCCGGGUGGAGACAUCUUCACCCGUCUAAAUCCCUUGUGGGCUUCGGGAGGGGCUUGCGGCCUAUCAGCUAGUUGGAGGGGUAACGGCCCACCAAGGCGACGACGGGUAGCUGGUCUGAGAGGAUGGUCAGCCGGACUGGGACUGAGAUACGGCCCAGACUCCUACGGGGGGCAGCAAUUA